GCUAGUUAACCAAUUAAGCUGCGCCAGCACUCUCCCCUUGACAAGUAAAAUCGUCUGGCGUUAGACAAAGUAAAAUAAUAAAGUAGGGCCCAUCAGGGCGGCGAGGGCGCAAUGCGACUCAAUGAGUUCAUAGAUUGCUGAAACUAUAAAUCAAGUCUGUGUACAAAUACAACACCUAGGCCACGCUGCCAGCUGUGCCUGUGGUUUACCUGAAUUUGCAAGCAAUUAUAGGUUUGUUUCAAUAUUCAAAAGAUUUUUCUAACUUCAAAGUUAAAAAAACUUCACAUUUAUAUAGUAACAGAGUUUACAUUGUCAGAAUUGCAUGUUAUGUGCUGAAAUGUAACACUGAGCCAGUUUCCUCAAAGAUUACUUACAAAUCCCUCAAAACGUAGAAUUUACCUAUGGAACAUCGCAUAUUGUCUAGUCAAUCUACUUAUAAUAAAUCUGUGUGACAACUGUCAAUGUGAAAAUAUAAUAUACAACACAUUAUUGUUCGUAAUUUUAAACAUAUUUCGCUUGUUUUAAACCCUCCAAAUUCGAAAAUAUAGGGUUAAUUAAAGGGUUUGUAGCCAUAGGCCGCUAUAGGUAUU
rnacentral:lncRNA from 1 species